CCCGGCUCCCUUUUAUGAAUGGGGGGCUGGAGAGAGACUGGCUGCGAGCCGCGGAGGACGGAUACGGCUUUCUCUCUCGCUGUUUGCUGUCCCCAUCCCCCGCUUAUUUAUUUAUUUAUUCAUUUUGUGAAUGGAGGGCAGGCGGUGACAGCUGCGCACGUACCGCGCCCUCUGCCCGGCCUGAAGCCAGCAGCCCUAAUGCUGUGAACACCCCCAACUGCUGCAGCUCUGCCUGGUGGAUGGUGCAGUAAUGAGGAACCUUAACAACAGGAAGAGAAGUAAAUGUUUAAUGAUUUGCCUUUAACAGAUCUCAGAAAGCUUUUCCUUCAUGCUUUGCUGCUUAUGAGAUCUGUGGAUGCCUUUGUGUUCUCUUUCUCCCCAUUCCUGGCUUUCCUCUGGGUUAUUUUCCCUGCGAGGCAGUGAUGCUAUUGAUGCCGGAUGCUCAGGACAGGCAGUCUGGGCAGUGAGCUGUCAGACGAUGCAUUUCCUGUGUGCAGCAAUCAGUCCUUCUCACUCACAAACAAAGGCAGAUAAGCAUUAGAAAUUAAUAUUAGCUCACUUCUGCAUGCUCUGUUUUCCUGACCUUGAGGAGCAGAGGCCGGGCAGCACCGCAUCGAUCCAUGGUGGAUGGGGGAAGGAAUGGGGCUCAGGGGCUCCUCUGUGCUCUGAGAAAUGCGAGUGGAGCGCGCUGCGUGGAGCUGUGGUGCAAGCUGGGGCCGUUUGGAGGUAGGAAGUGGUCAGCUUUGUACCUCCCUGCCAAAGAAAACUGCUGACUCUUUGAAUGCAGUAUUGACAUUAAGGUUUGGAGGAGGAUGUGCAGAAAGGAGAAGCCUUGGGGCUGUUGGUGUGAUGAGGUGAGCAGGCAGAUUCUGAAGCAUGGUUUGCUGAGUGCUGCAUCCCCCCACAGCCCUGCAUGCUGCUGUCUUCUGCAGCCAUUAUGAGCAGAUGUGCUUCCAGGGCAGCCUUGGGUGCCCUAUCAGUGGCUGUCCUUGAGAAAUUUGUUUCUGUUCAUAGAACCAUAAAAUCAUUCAGGUUGGAAAAAAACCUCUCAGAUCCCCAGGACCAACUCCAGCCUACCUCACUGUGCUCACUGACUGCAUUCCCAUGUUCUGCAGUACCUCCAGGUUGGUGACUCCCCACCCCCUGGGUAGCUGUGCCAGUGCUCACCACUCUUUUGGGGAAUAAAUAUUUCUUAAUAUCCA
rnacentral:lncRNA from 1 species